rnacentral:misc_RNA from 1 species
AUUUUACUUUGCAUAUUCAGUUUGGUAAAUUAAGUAUUUAUUGUGUGUUCUAAAUUAUUUUUAUUUAUUUGUGUCGAAGAUCUGUUUUCUUAUUUGCAUUUACUCAUUCCCUAUAGGAUCAACUACUUACCUAUAUACAAGUAGUUUAGGUAGAGUGUUUUUAAUUAAUGCAUUCGACACGCAUCAAGUGAACAAACAGGUGUUAGUAGCAUUUUCCAUUUGGAAGUAUCAAGAUAAGGUUAUGUGUGACGCAGUCCCUAUGAAUGCUGAACAUUUGUUACUUGGACGACCAUGACAGUAUGAUAGGAAAGUGAUUCAUGAUGGGUAUAAGAAUAUGUAUUCUUUUGAGAUGAAUGGUAAGAAGAUUACUUUGGCCCCUAUGACCCUUGCUCAGAUUUAUGAAGAACAAAAGAAAUAGAUACAAGCAACUAAUGAGAAGAGAGAUAGAGUGGCCGAAAAGAGUGAUGGUGAUAAGAAACUGAGUGAAAAGAAAUUAAAUGAAAAGAAAGAAACUGAGAGAGAGAAGACAUGAGCAAAAGAAGGUAUUUAAAAAGGUGAGUUUUCGACAUAAAAGGAGAGUUGUGUGGGAAAAAGUGAGCAAAACAUGAGUUUGAUUGCAAAGGAAAAGGAUGUGAGGUUCUCUUUUGCAGGACUUUGAGGAUGUAUUCUCUAAGAAGAUGCCCAAUGAGUUACCACCUAUUAAAGGGAUUGAGCACCAAAUUGAUUUUCUACCUGGAGCUGCCAUUCCAAACAAGCCAACCUAUAAGAGCAACCCUAAGGAAACAAAGGAAAAGGCAAGUUGAAGAACUACUGGCCAAAGGACUG